UCUAAUUGUUGCGAGCUAGCAACUGAUGGUUGCUUGUGUCAAAGAAAUGAUGGCUAUUACUGGAAAUGGCCGGGCGGGGUGUGCCUGACUGAUAAGGUAAAAAGGUAGUGUUUGUGUGUUAAGAUUACUAGUACUAAUUUGGGAAGAUAGGCAGCGUGCGUGCUAGCUAAGUGUUUCGUCUUCCCUUAGCUAAGUGUUACUUCCACACAGUCCGUGCCGAUCGACUCUCUUGUUUAUUUGACUGAUUGAUGACAUGCAUGGUUUCAUGCCUCUUUCUGGUGUAAAGUCGUUCGUUCCAGAGGAGACAAGGAAUAUGUUGCAUAGUCGUAGUAGGUUGUACUAAACCACUCGACGGACCGCCCGUUAUUAGAAAUUCAUCAAUGUUUAUUUACGUGAUGACAGCAAUUAGCAAAAACAGCCCAGCCCGUCUCCAACUUGAACCCAGUCUCAAAAUAAUAAUCCCGCUAGGCCGCUACAUUAUUGGGCCAGGCGUAGUAGCACUUUUGCGAGUAGCCCAAAGUCUCCGCGUGACUUUGGGCCCAGUUUACUGGGUCGAUGGGAAUAUUAAACUUAGGCCUAGGCACAAAUUUACGGUUUUCCUAAACAUCUAUCGGGUGAUUUUUCUUCCUUCAUUUCACUCGGGAUACCUAUGGCUGGGAUUCCGUCAAGAUUCGUGCAGUUUAUUUUGUUAACAGGCCGAUGUGUGUUGUUAUUUUUGUUGGCCCAACAGCUUCGUGGUGUGUGCUUUGUUUUCCACUUUUCUUUGUAGAGCUCGCCGUACGCCCGUACCUCCGAUGGCGGGCGCGCGACGAUGAGCGAUGGCGUACGGCGGUGACGAGGGACGGUGCGAGGGCGGCGAUUUUGAUGGACUGCAGUGCCGGUGACGGUCAGAGCGUUUUAUCCCGGUCACCUCGUUCUACUCUUCUUUUCCGUCCUAUCAAUCUAUUUCUUGAGUCAGGAGCAGUGUGCGUGCUCCUCGUGGAUUCUGCAGUUGUGGUGGUCAGGAGCAGACUUUGCGAUUGCCGGUCCGGGCGCUGGGGGUGUUGAACAACAAGGCCCGCCUGCUGAUGGCAGGUGGUGGUAAGGUGAGCAAAAUCAUUUCGGGGGGCGUUUAGUUCGUCGAAUAUUUAGGUACUAACUAUUAUUAAACGUAGACUAUUUACAAAACUCAUUACAUAAGUGGAGGCUAAACGGCGAGACGAAUCUAUUAAGCCUAAUUAAUUCAUCAUUAGCAAAUGUUUACUGUAGUAACACAUUGUCAAAUCAUGGACUAACUAGGCUUAAUAGAUUCGUCUCGCUGUUUAGUCUCCACUUAUGUAGUGGGUUUUGUAAAUAGUCUACGUUUAAUACUUCUAAUUAGUAUCUAAAUAUUCGAUAUGACGGGUGCUAAAAAUAACCAGGAGAAAUCAAACCAGACCUUCCUUUUCCUAAGGUCGUAUGGUGACCUGGGCCAUGAAUGACCCUACUAACAAUAGGAAUGUCACGUAUCUCAACUAGGCGUUGUAUUAGGUUCCGGGUAUUCAUUAGCAGUGCGUGUGGUUUUAAGUUAUCCUUUUUUGGUACCAGGAGUGUGUGUUCUUUAGCAGUUAUCACUUUUGUUUAAGACUUUUUUAAUCAAUUUUAAUGAAUAUGUUUUUGGAGUAUAUUUCUAAUUUUCUUGUAGGCAUAUUAUAUAUUUUUCUUUUGAUUUCACUCAAAUUCAGUUUUUUGUUUGUUGUCAGCCUAUCUAUAAAUCCAUAGCGUCAGGUUGACUAGUAAGUAUAUAGUUAUGUUUCUACGCAAGUGCCGAAUCCGAUCACCAUAUGCAAUAUAAAAAGCUAGCUAGCAUGUUUCGCAAAGCAUGUUUCAAGUAUGGUUGUUGCCACGUACCUCACUAAUGCUACUUUUUUACUAGUAGUGCUGAGAUUCUAUGAGUUGCGGGCUUUUAUUUUUAUACAAGUAACUUACAUUAUUGUUUGAGCAAUAGGCAUGCAACAAAAAUUAUAGGGUUUUACAACUUUAGAUGGUAUGCUGAAUCACGAAUUAAAUCUCACUGAAGCAUGUGUGAUGAACUAAAUCUCACUAAACUCUUCUAAGCAUAUCUCAACAGUGUUUCUUUUGGAGUUGUUUAAGGCAAAAAUGGCUUUGAAUGUAGUAGUGCUUUGCAACUAUUUGGCUAUUUUAGCUAUUUUUUCUUUUCUUUUGGAAUGUACAGAACAAUUGAUUUUUUAGGGACUGCUGACCAAUUGUGUUCAUGUUCAUAUAGUUGUCUAUUAAAAGGAAGAAUUGCAUGGGGUGUGAUUUGUCUAUUAACACUAUUUGAUUUUUUAGGGCAAAUUUACACUUGAGCAUGUGCAUUUGGCGGACGCAUGCAUAAGAUGGAGCCUCGGCAAAGAUCAAGUAAGGUGCUCUCUCUUGCCACGUUAUGACUAUAAAUUAAAGGGAUGGUUUGAAUGGGCGGCUGAACAUGGUCUUCUCUGUGACAUUCUUCAGAGCCCGGGCAUACGGCCAGGGUCACCGGGCCCUGGGUUCCACCCCUGAGCAUGUGGGUAGCCCCCC
rnacentral:lncRNA from 1 species